UAACACCAUAAUUUUUUUUAGAUUCACUUUCUUUGCCGCUGAGAACAAGAGUUACAUUGAUAUUGUCAUGUUCUAGCAAACGAGUACGAUAGCCUUCAGAUAGACCAUACUCAUUAAACUUGCUUCCGACUAUAGAUAUUUGCAACUUUCCUUGAGAUAAUAAAUCAAGGAUACAUGCGAGAGUUCCACUGUUAGAUGUUUCUUCAAAUAAAUGAUUCUUAUGAUUUUGAAAACCCUCCAAUAAAAAUUUAUUAAAUCGCUUGGCUUGUGACAAUAAAAAUGGAGGUAAAGGAGACUUGAGGGAACUUGCAAAUUUCUCCGUAAACUGGAAGUUUCGACCAGGCUGCAAUCUACUGUUUUCUGAAUUAACUCUAGUAAUUAUUCUCUUAUCCAAUAAUUCUUGAUGAGCAGCGAUGAGAAUAUCUUCUGGAUACUGCAUAAGACGUUCUUGCGAAAACCGAGCAUCAUAUGUAGCGUCUGGGAUGGCAACGAUGCUCUUGAUAGUAGACUUCGCAUCAAACAACUGACCUUUCUCACAAUUCUCAUCCCCUUCAUUAUUUUGUUUGUCAUUUAAGGAAAGCGGCAUGGUAAAAGGCAUAUCACAAUACGCAUUCAUUUUCGAGGCAACUGACAGGGAAGGAUCAAAUAUCAUUUCCCGGAAAUUAGUUUCUUGUUUAACAACCUCUAUAUUGUAAGUUUCAUAAACGUCAACGAGGUCUCUCGGUAACCUAGUAGUAGCAAGAUUUGAAGAACUAAUCAUAUAAGGUCUACAAGACGCCUUAACAUAUGGGGUAGGAUCAAAAUCAUCAACAGAAUCAGGAUAUGGCAUUAAAUCUUUUCUUGAGACAGCAUCUUUGUACAUUUGCUGCCAAUUUUCUGAUAAAAACUGUUGCAAGCCUUUAAAUUUUGUAUGUUGUCUAAUGGAUAAAUAUCUUCUAGUAAGAGCAUAUAUGUCCCGGUUAGGAAAGCAUUUCUGUACAGCCUCCCAUUUGAUUAAUCUGUUGGUCCCACCAUAAUAAAUUUGAGUAAUAACAACCGCUCUAAUCAAGGUCUCAUCCUCAUCUGAUGUAAAAUCAUUUUUGAAGCGUUUAACUGAACGUUUGCUUGCAUGUUCAGUUGAAGAAAAAUAAUCAAAUUCCUCCACUGAAGCGUAUCUAUCUUUCCGCAACUUUUUAGGUUUUUCUACUGGGCUUUUCUGUUGGGUAUUUUCGUGCAGUGCGAAAUCGGGAGCCAAUGAUUCUAAAAGUUGUUGCGCGAGUCUCAUUGGAUCGUCUUUCUCCUUUUCAUUUUUCUUCACCUCCUCUUUAUCAACAGGUUUAGUCUCAGAAGAUUCCUUGUGACGUUUUAUUUCCGCUGGCAUAGAUUUACGCCUUGACAAAGAAGUAUUCCUUUUCAAAAAAUCGACAUCUACAUCUUUUAAUAUUUCUGGAGUUGAUUGUUUUUCGAUUUCAGGAGUUGUAAUUUGAGCUCUUAACUGUUGAAACCUAGGUGAAUCAGGCUUCAUAUCGUAUUGUACCACGAUAUCUUUUCUAACGAGCUUCCCAAGUCCAUUGUUUGUUGCAAUCACUAAUUUACGAACCUUUUUCUCUUGCAUUAAUUUUUCAAGGGUUUGCUGAAAAGUUCUCCUAUCCAUAACGGUCCUAGAAGUUUCCGGGUUUCGUCGCACUUUAAGGUCUGCCAAGUCUUCAAACAUCUUUCGAGAUAUUUCAAAAGCCCCAUUCUGUUCAACGAGAUAGGAAAGAAUUAAACCUUUACGUUGUAGGAAUAUAAAGUCUACAGAUUCCAAACGGCGCUUUUUCGUAGGGGAUGAAAAGUUAGCCAUUAGACUGCCUGUCGAAUGGGAUAAUUGUGAGUCUACUGAAACGGGAUAAUGAAAUGAAGAGUCUAAAUCAAUUGAGCUUUGAGAAUCAGAGACUUGUAAAGAAGAUGUGUUUCCAUAUUUUAGGUGAUCUGGCGAACUAACCGUGAAAUUCUUCGAAGGAACACUUGAUGACACGUUCAAAAGAGGCUCCAAAUGUUCUGCUUUUUUAACAUGGUCUUCAUUAAAUUCUGGGUUUUUUAGAGGAGCAAGGCCUCUAUAAAUUCGUGACGUUUUCGAGGGUGUCAAAGAUCCUGCUAUGCUUAGGUUGCUACUAGUGCUAGGGGUAGAAAUUGUAGCAUUUUGGAUGAACCCUUCGGAAACUGGUGAAAUAGCAAGGGAAGGUAGAUUAUUUUCAUUUUUAGAGGGCCGAAUGGGAGAUGAGGUUACAGAAAUAUUUGCAGAUUUUCUAGGUCUACCUCUUUUUCUUGGCAAUAAAGUCAUUCCGUCGGGAGAUACUUCCGCAUUAGAUUCCAUAUUUCCCUUAUGAUGUAGAGAAUUUAAGAAAAGGGAAGAGUCAAUUGGAGAAAAUUCACCAGCGAGUGAGUGAACGUGAGGUAAUAGCUUCGAAAUUGUUUCGGCAGGAAUGCCAUCUCGAAUAAGGCGAUUUAACUGAGACUGAAGCGUAAAGUAUCUAUAUUGUCUCGACUUUUUAGUUUUAUCUUCAAAUCGAGUAAUACUCAUGUGUGAGAGAUGGUUUGGCACACUGGAACGAUGUUCCACUAAAGAACCAAGGAGCUUAAAUAAAGGUUUGUUAAAACGUAUUCCUGUAAGGCCACUCAAAAUUUGUAAAGUGAUUACCCCAUGAAAUCCGGCAUUUCUGAUUAAGACAAAACACUGGAAUUCCAAUGGACGAAAACGAGACCAUUGGGGAAGAGUAGGUCCAACGUCGGCUAGUGGCUGCAAAAAGGAAGCAUCAAAUUCUUCUUUUGACGGAAGGAGUGGUUCUUCUUCCUCUAAUUCAUCGUCUUCUGGAAUAUCAUCCACUUCAGUAAAAUCAACGUCGUCCUCAGUUGCGUCUAAAGAUGAAAUGUAAGGUUUUAUAAAUUGUAAACAGCGAAUGCAACGCUCUGGAGAGUUAGGAACAAAAGUAAGGCAUUUGCGAAGGUAUCCAUUAUUGUGUAAAUAUGUAACUUGUCGAGCAUAAUAUCUUCGUUCCCAGCGACUGUGGUUUAAAUUCACCAUCGCACGAGCAUCAACAUGACGGCAAAUUCCGUUACGUGAAGACUGAACAGCAUCACAUAUAUUGCUACGAAUUUUUUCAGUGUUAUAAAUUUGCUUACCAGAUACCUGAGCAACAGUUUCGUUAAUUGUGCUGUUCUCUGACUCAAAUCGCUUUAGAACUAGCAGAGCAGUUUGUGCUCUGCUUCGAUUAAUGGCAACCUUUGAUAUUAAAGAAGCAUCUUCUAGCGCUUGAAUACGACCGUAAACGCUUCGAGGCUCCUGCUUAGUCUCCUUACAUAAUUGGAUUCUAUCAACACCUUCCUGCCUAUAUCUAGAUAUGCAAGACAAUAAUUCAAAGGCUAAAGGUUGAAUUUUUGAAUCUGUCUUCGUCUUGUAAGUGAGAGUAAGCCAUUGCCUGUCUUCUGAAGCGAAUAAGCGUAUACGAGCGCGUAACUCAAUCGUGAUAUCUUGGUAAUUCCAAGGGAUUUCUUGCAUUUUACUUCGUAAUCCAGUGGCAUCUUCAUCUUCAAUCCAAACCUCAAUUCCAUCUUCUUUUAAAAUUAAAGGCCACACAAAUGUUUUAUAGUUAUCGUCUAAAUUUUGUACGAUACCUUGCCGAAAAAAAAAAUUUGCAGCAAAUUCCCAUAAACGAUCUAUGCUACAUCCCGAUGAUCCAUCCAAAGCAAUUUCUUCUGAGCAAUGCCGAAUGAGUGAAUCCAUAAGGGCGAUUCGAACGCUGGUUCUAACACUAUGUACAAAAGGAAAGCGUGGUUCGAGAGGUGAAAGUUAGUGAAAAUAGUGAUACUUUAUGAGUGUUUUUAAAAUUUUGUUAAAUUUUAUACAGAAGAACUUAAAGACAUAUUUAAUAUACUUUAACCGAUGUAUUGAGUUAUACGACUGCUAAAUAGUAUACCGACACAAUAAACGACUAAAUCGGUUCACAUUUUAAUA
rnacentral:lncRNA from 1 species